rnacentral:rRNA from 1 species
UACGGAGGGUGCGAGCGUUGUCCGGAAUCACUGGGCGUAAAGGGUGCGUAGGCGGGUCUUUAAGUCAGGGGUGAAAUCCUGGAGCUCAACUCCAGAACUGCCUUUGAUACUGAAGAUCUUGAGUUCGGGAGAGGUGAGUGGAACUGCGAGUGUAGAGGUGAAAUUCGUAGAUAUUCGCAAGAACACCAGUGGCGAAGGCGGCUCGCUGGCCCGAUACUGACGCUGAUGCACGAAAGCGUGGGGAGCAAACAGG